rnacentral:rRNA from 1 species
CCUACGGGAGGCAGCAGUGAGGAAUAUUGGUCAAUGGUCGUAAGACUGAACCAGCCAAGUAGCGUGCAGGAUGACUGCCCUACGGGUUGUAAACUUCUUUUAUGCGGGAAUAAAGUGAGUCACGUGUGCCGUUUUGUAUGUACCUUAUGAAUAAGGAUCGGCUAACUCCGUGCCAGCAGCCGCGGUAAUACGGAGGGUCCGAGCGUUAUCCGGAUUUAUUGGGUUUAAAGGGAGCGUAGGUGGGAUGUUAAGUCAGCUGUGAAAGGCUGUGGCUCAACCGUAGCAUUGCGGUUGAAACUGGCAGGCUUGAGUACGCUGGAGGUAGGCGGAAUUCGUGGUGUAGCGGUGAAAUGCUUAGAUAUCACGAAGAACUCCGAUUGCGAAGGCAGCUUAC